AUUGAACGCUGGCGGAAUGCUUUACACAUGCAAGUCGAACGGCAGCACGGACUUCGGUCUGGUGGCGAGUGGCGAACGGGUGAGUAAUAUAUCGGAACGUAUCCAAUAAUGGGGGAUAACUAAUCGAAAGGUUGGCUAAUACCGCAUACGUCCUACGGGAGAAAGCUAGGGACCUUCGGGCCUGGCGUUAAUGGAGCGGCCGAUAUCGGAUUAGCUAGUUGGUGAGGUAAAGGCUCACCAAGGCGACGAUCCGUAGCUGGUCUGAGAGGACGACAAGCCAAACUGGAACUGAGACACGGUCCAGACUCCGACGGGGGGCAGCAGUGGGGAAUUUUGGACAAUGGGCGAAAGACUGGUCCAGCCAUUCCGCGUGAGUGAAGAAGGCCUUCGGGUUGUAAAGCUCUUUCGCAAGAGAAGAAAACUUACCCUCUAACAUAGGGUGAGGUUGACGGUAUCUUGAUAAGAAGAACCGGCUGACUACGUGCCAGCAGCCGCCGUAA
rnacentral:rRNA from 1 species